rnacentral:rRNA from 1 species
GGAUUAGGCAUGCAAGUCGAACGAUAUCCAGUUUGUAGCAAUACAGGCUGGUGACAGUGGCGGAAGGGUGAGGAACACGUGGACAACCUGCCCUUGAGUUGGGGAUAACCCCGCGAAAGCGGGACUAAUACCGGAUACGAUGGUCUGCCGCAUGGUGGAUUGAUCAAAGAUGGGGAGCCGCAAGGUCCUGUCGCUCAAGGAGGGGUCCGCGUCCUAUCAGCUUGUUGGCGGGGUAACGGCCCACCAAGGCUUACGGGUAGCUGGUCUGAGAGGAUGGUCAGCCACACUGGGACUGAGACACUGCCCAGACUCCUACGGGAGGCUGCAGUCGAGGAUCAUUCGCAAUGGGCGCAAGCCUGACGGUGCGACGCUGCGUGGAGGAUGAAGGCCCUCGGGUUGUAAACUCCUGUCGUGUGGGAACAAUAGUCUGACCGUUAACACCGGUUGGAAGUGAUAGUACCGCAAAAGGAAGCCACGGCUAACUCUGUGCCAGCAGCCGCGGUAAUACAGAGGUGGCAAGCGUUGUUCGGAUUUACUGGGCGUAAAGGGUGCGUAGGUGGCUUUGUAUGUCGGGCGUGAAAUCCCACUGCUCAACGGUGGAACGCCGCCCGAAACUGCAGGGCUAGAGUGCAGGAGAGGAGAGCGGAAUUCUUGGUGUAGCGGUGGAAUGCGUUGAUAUCAAGAAGAACACCAGUGGCGUAGGCGGCUCUCUGGAACGCAACUGACGCUGAGGCGCGAAAGUCGGGGGAGCAAACAGGAUUAGAUACCCUGGUAGUCCCGACCUUAAACGGUGCACACUUGGGGUGGGGGGAUUUCACCCCCCCCCCGUCCCGGAGCUAACGCGUUAAGUGUGCCGCCUGGGGAGUACGGCCGCAAGGUUAAAACUCAAAGAAAUUGACGGGGGCCCGCACAAGCAGAGGAGCAUGUGGCUUAAUUCGAUGCAACGCGAAGAACCUUACCCGGGUUUGACAUGCAGCUGCACGGCCUAUGAAAGUAGGCCUCCUUCGAGGGUGCUGCACAGGUGCUGCAUGGCUGUCGUCAGUUCGUGCCGUGAGGUGUUUGGUUAAGUCCAGCAACGAACGCAACCCCUGUGUCCAGUUGCCAGCGCGUAAUGGCGGGAACUCUGGACGGACUGCCCGUUCACACGGGAGGAAGGUGGGGAUGACGUCAAGUCAGUAUGGCCCUUACAUCCGGGGCUGCACACGUGCUACAAUGGCCGGUACGAAGGGAAGCAAAG